rnacentral:rRNA from 1 species
GACGAACGCUGGCGGCGUGCCUAAUACAUGCAAGUCGAACGCAGUGGGGACGGGUGAGUAACACGUGGGUAACCGACCAUCAGAGGGGAUAACAUUUGGAAACAGGUGCUAAACCGCUACUGAUGGAUGGACCCGCGGUGCAUUAGCUAGUUGGUGCGGUAACGGCUCACCAAGGCCACGAUGCAUAGCCGACCUGAGAGGGUGAUCGGCAACACUGGGACUGAGACAAGGCCCAGACUCCUACGGGAGGCAGAAGUAGGGAAUCUUCGGCAAUGGACGAAAGUCUGACCGAGCAACGCCGCGUGAGGGAAGAAGGUUUUCGGAUCGUAAAACUCUGUUGGUAGAGAAGCGGUAUCUAACCAGAAAGCCACGGCUAACUACGUGCCAGCCGCCGCGGUAAUAC